rnacentral:pre_miRNA from 1 species
GCGAUGCCUCGCGGCAUUUGUGUGUGUGUGUGUGUGUGUGUGCGCGCGCGUGCGCACGCACAUACAAACACCACCCCUGCCAACU